rnacentral:rRNA from 1 species
CCUACGGGUGGCAGCAGUAGGGAAUAUUGGACAAUGGGGGCAACCCUGAUCCAGCCAUGCCGCGUGAGUGAAGAAGGCCCUCGGGUUGUAAAGCUCUUUUGUCCGGAAAGAAAAGCUUCGGGUUAAUACCCCGGGGUUCUGACGGUACCGGAAGAAUAAGCACCGGCUAACUUCGUGCCAGCAGCCGCGGUAAUACGAAGGGUGCAAGCGUUACUCGGAAUUACUGGGCGUAAUUGGUGCGUAGGUGUGUGGAAGCCCUGGGCUCAACCUGGGAAUGGCAUUGGAAACUGGGCAGCUAGAGUGCGGUAGAGGGUAGUGGAAUUCCCGGUGUAGCAGUGAAAUGCGUAGAGAUCGGGAGGAACAUCUGUGGCGAAGGCGACUGCCUGGACCAGCACUGACACUGAGGCACGAAAGCGUGGGGAGCAAACAGGAUUAGAUACCCUGGUAGUC